AGGCAAAGCAAGCUUCUACAAAGCCACAAGGAAGAAAGUGUGCCCAGUCCUACCCAUUUCUGCCAACAUAAAAAAGACAAACACAACAAUGAGUACCCUAGCCCAAUUAUGUUAUUUAAAGAGACCCAUACCAAUAGAAAGGUGGGAUGCAUGAGCGCACCUGCCGCCCUUGAAGCUUAUAUAUCUAUGGAAACUAAAAGAAGUCAAGCACGACCAGAAGAUGAGCACUCGGUAUCUGGUGGACACAAGGGGCUGCACUUAUAGUAGAGAUGCAAAGGAAGCAACAUGAAAAAUUGGGAACUAUGAAGAAGAGCCAAGAAAAAAAAAAGCAUAUUAAAGAAAGCAAGAUGGACGCGCCAACGUUAUUAGCUUACUUUUACACAAACAUGCAACU